rnacentral:rRNA from 1 species
GACGUAGGGCGCGAGCGUUGUCCGGAUUUAUUGGGCGUAAAGAGCUCGUAGGCGGCUUGUCGCGUCGUCCGUGAAAACCUGCAGCUCAACUGCAGGCUUGCGGUCGAUACGGGCAGGCUAGAGUUCGGUAGGGGAGACUGGAAUUCCUGGUGUAGCGGUGAAAUGCGCAGAUAUCAGGAGGAACACCGGUGGCGAAGGCGGCUUGCUGGGCCAGUUCUGACGCUGAGGAGCGAAAGCGUGGGGAGCGAACAGG